rnacentral:rRNA from 1 species
GGAUGAACGCUGGCGGCAUGCUUUACACAUGCAAGUUGAACGAAUUAAAGUUUUCGAAUUUUAGUUAAGUAGCGAACGGGUGAGUAAAACGUAAGAAUCUAUUUUUAGGUGAGGAAUAACUAAUGGAAACGUUAGCUAAUACCUUAUAAACUGAGAAGUGAAAAACUAAAAAUUGCCUAAAAGUGAGCUUGCGCCUGAUUAGCUUGUUGGUAAGAUAAUCGCUUACCAAAGCGACGAUCAGUAGUUGGUCUAAGAGGAUAAUCAACCACACUGGGACUGAGAUACGGCCCAGACCUCUACGGAGGGCAGCAGUGAGGAAUUUUCCGCAAUGGGCGAAAGCCUGACGGAGCAAUGCCGCGUGAAGGAUGAAGGCCUAUGGGUCGUAAACUUCUUUUCUUAAUGAAGAAAUAAGACGGUAAUUAAGGAAUAAGCAUCGGCUAACUCCGUGCCAGCAGCCGCGGUAAUACGGAGGAUGCAAGCGUUAUCCGGAAUUAUUGGGCGUAAAGGGUUUGUAGGCUACUUUUUAAGUCUACUGUUAAAGAAUAAGACUUAACCUUAGAAAAGCAGUAUGAAACUAAAAGGAUAGAGUUCAGUAGGGGUAGAGGGAAUUCUCGGUGUAGUAGUGAAAUGCGUAGAUAUCGAGAGGAACACCAAUAGCGAAAGCACUCUACUAGGCUGUAACUGACGCUAAGAAACGAAAGCUAGGGGAGCCAAUGGGAUUAGAUACCCCAGUAGUCCUAGCUGUAAACGAUGGAUACUAAGUAUUGGAUAAUAAAAAAUUCAGUGCUGUAGCUAACGCGUUAAGUAUCCCGCCUGGGGAGUAUGCCCGCAAGGGUGAAACUCAAAGGAAUUGACGGGGGCCCGCACAAGCGGUGGAGCAUGUGGUUUAAUUCGAUGCAACGCGAAAAACCUUACCAGGAUUUGACAUCCCAUAUUUUUUUUCUAGAAAUAGAAAAAUUGACGUGGAGACAGGUGGUGCAUGGCUGUCGUCAGCUCGUGUCGUGAGAUGUUGGGUUAAGUCCCGUAACGAGCGCAACCCUUGUCUUUAGUUCGAUAGUCUAAAGAAACUGCCGAUAAUAAAUCGGAGGAAGGUGAGGAUGACGUCAAGUCAGCAUGCCCCUUAUAUUCUGGGCGACACACGUGCUACAAUGGUUAAGACAAUGGGAUGCAAACUUGUAAAAGGAAGCUAACCUCAAAAACUUAAUCGAAGUUCGGAUUGUCGACUGAAACUCGUCGACAUGAAGCUGGAAUCGCUAGUAAUCGCCGGUCAGCCACACGGCGGUGAAUACGUUCUCGGGCCUUGUACACACCGCCCGUCACGUUAGGGAAGCUGAUUACGCCCGAAGUCAUUAAUUUAACCUUUUGGAGAAAAAUGCCGAAGGCAGAGU